rnacentral:rRNA from 1 species
AUUGAACGCUGGCGGCAGGCUUAACACAUGCAAGUCGAGCGGAUGAAGAGAGCUUGCUCUCUGAUUCAGCGGCGGACGGGUGAGUAAUGCCUAGGAAUCUGCCUGGUAGUGGGGGACAACGUUUCGAAAGGAACGCUAAUACCGCAUACGUCCUACGAGAGAAAGUGGGGGAUCUUCGGACCUCACGCUAUCAGAUGAGCCUAGGUACGAUUAGCUAGUUGGUGAGGUAAAGGCUCACCAAGGCGACGAUCGUUAACUGGUCUGAGAGGAUGAUCAGUCACACUGGAACUGAGACACGGUCCAGACUCCUACGGGAGGCAGCAGUGGGGAAUAUUGGACAAUGGGCGAAAGCCUGAUCCAGCCAUGCCGCGUGUGUGAAGAAGGUCUUCGGAUUGUAAAGCACUUUAAGUUGGGAGGAAGGGCAGUAAGUUAAUACCUUGCUGUUUUGACGUUACCGACAGGAUAAGCACCGGCUAACUUCGUGCCAGCCGCCGCCGUAACAC